rnacentral:rRNA from 1 species
CCUACGGGAGGCAGCAGUGGGGGAUAUUGCACAAUGGGGGAAACCCUGAUGCAGCGACGCCGCGUGAGUGAAGAAGUAUUUCGGUAUGUAAAGCUCUAUCAGCAGGGAAGAAAAUGACAGUACCUGACCAAGAAACCCCUGCUAACUACGUGCCAGCAGCCGCGGUAAUACGUAGGGGGCAAGCGUUAUCCGGAUUUACUGGGUGUAAAGGGAGCGUAGACGGUUAUGUAAGUCUGGAGUGAAAGCCGGGGGCCCAACCCCGGGACUGCUUUGGAAACUGUGUAACUGGAGUACAGGAGGGGGAGGCGGAAUUCCGGGUGUAGCGGUGAAAUGCGUAGAUAUCAGGAGGAACACCGGCGGCGAAGGCGGCCUGCUGGACUGAAACUGACGUUGAGGCUCGAAAGCGUGGGGAGCAAACAGGAUUAGAUACCCUUGUAGUC